GUGCACCUCUGGCAAGACAAUGAUAGGGUGAGUGAUGGUCAAGGUGUUUCUUCCUUUUUUGGGUCACCCUACCUCAUUGGGAGGCAGCCGGUGUGUUAGAUAUAAAAAAAAAAUGCAUGAGUUGAUUGGUAUGCAGGAAAUAGCUGAAAUUAUCUCACCUGUUUAUCAUACCUGUUACUCCCAUGGUGAUAAAUAAUUGAUAUAUAAACAGUGUAUACUGUGGUGACUCUAUGACUUCAAUCACAGAUAUUAUCAUGGUGAUGUCACAAAAUUAUCCCUUUACUUCAUUUUAAUUAGUGUAUCUUUCACACUUUAUUAUCAAUCAAUAACAUACUUGACAUUUGAAUAAAUACACUGAGCGGCUGAUUUACUGCACAAACUCCGAUGAUGAUGAUGAUGCCUCUAGCACUCCUCACAGCCCUUUCUACCUCAAUCUCAUGCUACUCUCCACUCCUGCACUAUCCACUGCCCUGCUGCACUCUAUGACCUAAUAAUAAUCCGUCUCCCUCUUGAUACCCAAUACCCCUGCACUCUUCCCUGCCCUGCUGCACUGUAUGACCCUUGUGUGUUUUUGAUGGACCACAUGAACAGUAACGAUGACAAUGUAAGUGGUUCUUCUCCACGUGGUAAUAAGAAGUUAUCCUUUAAGACGCCACGCAAAACCUCCGCUGUUGUCACCUCGGCUGGAGCAGCAACACCACUUCCUGACAGCCCUGUGCCACCACCACGUAGACCCAAGGACAGUGUUCAUGUAAAUCCAAGAAAUAAAUAGCUACAUAAACUGUCCACAUGUCAGUUCUGAAGUUCAUGAAUGGUUUGUGAUCGUGUGUGUUAUGGUGUUAGGUAACUGCAUUAUAUACAAGAUAGGAAAUGCUGAAGCUGUUCAUUAGAACAAAUUCUUACCUACAUUUUCUGGUUUAUUCAUAUGCACUCCCAGAUAAAAAAAAAAAUCAUAAAUAUUCAUUGUGUGGGUUUAGUGACAAAACCAAAUGCUCAUACAUGGCUUAUUGAUAAUACAUUAUUAAGUUAUGAAAUUAAAUACAAUGAACAGCAAAGAAAGAAAAGUUAAUGAGAAAUUUCCAGGGUAAAUUGUAGUCCAAAGAUAUGAUGUACAUAAUUCUCAAAUUUGCUAAAUGUAAUGUCUAGCAAAGAUAAUUUAAAAAUAGAUGAAUAUACAAAUGCACAAAAGAACCCAUAUGAAGGUAAUAAAAUGUAAACUAAAAUGAA